UCAUAAAAAUGAAGCAAUCAC
rnacentral:piRNA from 1 species